UUGUGAAGAGGUAGCAAGAGAGCAGCAAUCUACAAGCCAAGGAAAGAGGCCACAGAGGAAACCAACCCUGCCAGCAUCUUGAUCUUGGACUUCCAGCUUCCAGAACUAACCAGGGACCACACUCCCAUGCUGACAGUAUGGGCUGCUGUCUUCAGGACCAUUGCAAGUGUCCUUCACGGUUCGGUUCACAUUUCACAAGCCCAAUGAAGUCUAUCUGGAUUUUCGGUAAUGUUUCCUGUCUCUGAAAUCUUAUGACAUGUAUGUCUGUAUCAGCCAUUUGAUGCUUGAUUAUCUAUUUUUCAGAUGGAUGUCUUGCCUUUUCCUCUACAUACUACAGGAAGAGUGGCCACCCCUGCCAAGGGCCUAGUAUAGUACCCUAUACAUGUAGCUGAUCAGUUGAUUGUUACUGAUCAUAUAUAUCCUGCAUCAUGUUAUAAAAAAUUAACACAGUGCUUGGCA
rnacentral:lncRNA from 1 species